rnacentral:lncRNA from 1 species
UAGAAUUUUUUUAUUUUUUAAUGAUGUAGUAUGAAUUUAAUGAUCUACCAAUCUAGAAUAUUUAAUAAUUUUAAAAAAUUAUUUUUAAUAUAAUGUAAAAAAAAAAAAAAAACUCUGUGAAUAUUUUGAGUUUUGCUAGAAUACUAUUGAUAGUAAACGAGCCGUUUUACUACCUAUUUGUUUUCGAUGAUAGGGCUUCCAAAUUGACGAUCGGCUCCGUUGAACAUGAUCUAUAUCACUUCAAGUGUUUAGAAAUCAAAUUUCAAAUUUUUUUCAACAUCAUUUGCCUAAUGAUCAAAGGGUUUAAAAAUUUGUAAUUUUAAUGGUCGAUAAGAGGCGUUUUCUCGUUUAACGGCGUAAAGAUAUCCAAAUCAAUUAAAUUUUUGUUAGAAAAUUCUUUAAACUAUUUAAAACAAGAUCUAUACUCUUGAUCUUUGAUUACAAGACUCCUAUCAUCAUUUUUUAAAGAAUAUUUAUUUUCAGUCAUUCAUUUUUCUGUUCACUUGAUGGAUAAAAGAAUAAUAUCGAAAGUACGUGAAAUUUGAUUUCUAGAUAGUUUAAAUGGUUUAGAUCAUAUUUAACGAAACCGAUCGUCAAUUUGGAAGAUCUAUCAUCAAAAAUAAAUCGAUAGUAAAAUGACUCGUUUACCAUGGAUAGUAUUCUAGCUCAACUCGAAUAUUCUCGUGCUUAGUUGGGUU